UACUGCAGAGAGUGGAGCGCCCUAGUGUCAUGAAUUGCAAGCACAGUACGGAUAGGAGUUUUGGAAUUCAGUGUUGGCCCCACAUCAAAUUAAAGCCCAUGAUCCUGAUCAUCGAAGGAUCAUUCCGGUAGACAUAAUAGCCGAGUUGAGGGCGCGGAAAGCUGCACAGCACCGCAGCAGCCACCACAGGAGCCAUCACAGCCCGCUGCUGCUGCAGCUUCGCCAUCGCAGCCCGCAUCGCAGAUUAGACCGGCACGGGUGGCAGCGAAGAGAGCGGGAGAGAAGGAAAAAAAAAGGAAAAGAAGUGGGAAAAGAGGCAGCACUACUGCAGAGAGUGGAGCGCCCUAGUGUCAUGAAUUGCAAGCACAGUACGGAUAGGAGUUUCGGAAUUCAGUGUUGGCCCCACAUCAAAUUAAAGCCCAUGAUCCUGAUCAUCGAAGGAUCAUUCCGGUAGACAUAAUAGCCGAGUUGAGGGCGCGGAAAGCUGCACAGCACCGCAGCAGCCACCACAGGAGCCAUCACAGCCCGCUGCUGCUGCAGCUUCGCCAUCGCAGCCCGCAUCGCAGAUUAGACCGGCACGGGUGGCAGCGAAGAGAGCGGGAGAGAAGGAAAAAAAAAGGAAAAGAAGUGGGAAAAGAGGCAGCACUACUGCAGAGAGUGGAGCGCCCUAGUGUCAUGAAUUGCAAGCACAGUACGGAUAGGAGUUUCGGAAUUCAGUGUUGGCCCCACAUCAAAUUAAAGCCCAUGAUCCUGAUCAUCGAAGGAUCAUUCCGUCAGACAUAAUAGCCGAGUUGAGGGCGCGGAAAGCUGCACAGCACCGCAGCAGCCACCACAGGACCCAUCACAGCCCGCUGCUGCUGCAGCUUCGCCAUCGCAGCCCGAGGCGCAGACUGGACCGGCACGGGCGGCAGCGAAGAGAGCGGGAGAGAAGGAAAAAAAAAGGAAAAGAAGUGGGAAAAGAGGCAGCACUACUGCAGAGAGUGGAGCGCCCUAGUGUCAUGAAUUGCAAGCACAGUACGGAUAGGAGUUUCGGAAUUCAGUGUUGGCCCCACAUCAAAUUAAAGCCCAUGAUCCUGAUCAUCGAAGGAUCAUUCCGGUAGACAUAAUAGCCGAGUUGAGGGCGCGGAAAGCUGCACAGCACCGCAGCAGCCACCACAGGAGCCAUCACAGCCCGCUGCUGCUGCAGCUUCGCCAUCGCAGCCCGCAUCGCAGAUUAGACCGGCACGGGUGGCAGCGAAGAGAGCGGGAGAGAAGGAAAAAAAAAGGAAAAGAAGUGGGAAAAGAGGCAGCACUACUGCAGAGAGUGGAGCGCCCUAGUGUCAUGAAUUGCAAGCACAGUACGGAUAGGAGUUUCGGAAUUCAGUGUUGGCCCCACAUCAAAUUAAAGCCCAUGAUCCUGAUCAUCGAAGGAUCAUUCCGGUAGACAUAAUAGCCGAGUUGAGGGCGCGGAAAGCUGCACAGCACCGCAGCAGCCACCACAGGAGCCAUCACAGCCCGCUGCUGCUGCAGCUUCGCCAUCGCAGCCCGCAUCGCAGAUUAGA